GACGAACGCUGGCGGCGUGCUUAACACAUGCAAGUCGAACGGAAAGGCCUGCUUUCCCUUGUGGAUUGCGGGUACUCGAGUGGCGAACGGGUGAGUAACACGUGAGUGAUCUGCCCCCAACUUGGGUAUAAGCCUGGGAAACUGGGUCUAAUUCCCGAUAGGACUGCAGGGUGGUGCCUGUGGUGGAAAACGAUUUUCUAGUGGUUGGGGAUGAGCUCGCGGCCUAUCAGCUUGUUGGUGGGGUAAUGGCCUACCAAGGCGGCGACGGGUAGCCGGCCUGGGAGGGUGGACGGCCACAUUGGGACUGAGAUACGGCCCAGAAUCCUACGGGAGGCAGCAGUGGGGAAGAUUGCACAAUGGGCGGAAGCCUGAUGCAGCGACGCCGCGUGGGGGAUGACGGCCUUCGGGUUGUAAACUCCCUGCGACCGCGAGGAAGCCACCUGGUUGGAAGGGUGGUGACGGUAGUGGUAGAAGAAGCACCGGCUAACUACGUG
rnacentral:rRNA from 1 species